AGGGAUCAUUACUGAGUUUACGCUCUACAACCCUUUGUGACAUACCUAUAACUGUUGCUUCGGCGGGUAGGGUCUCCGUGACCCUCCCGGCCUCCCGCCCCCGGGCGGGUCGGCGCCCGCCGGAGGAUAACCAAACUCUGAUUUAACGACGUUUCUUCUGAGUGGUACAAGCAAAUAAUCAAAACUUUUAACAACGGAUCUCUUGGUUCUGGCAUCGAUGAAGAACGCAGCGAAAUGCGAUAAGUAAUGUGAAUUGCAGAAUUCAGUGAAUCAUCGAAUCUUUGAACGCACAUUGCGCCCGCCAGCAUUCUGGCGGGCAUGCCUGUUCGAGCGUCAUUUCAACCCUCAAGCUCUGCUUGGUGUUGGGGCCCUACAGCUGAUGUAGGCCCUCAAAGGUAGUGGCGGACCCUCCCGGAGCCUCCUUUGCGUAGUAACUUUACGUCUCGCACUGGGAUCCGGAGGGACUCUUGCCGUAAAACCCCCAAUUUUCCAAAGGUUGACCUCGGAUCAGGUAGGAAUACCCGCUGAA
rnacentral:rRNA from 1 species